rnacentral:tRNA from 2 species
GCACUGGUGGUUCAGUGGUAGAAUUCUUGCCUGACACGCAGGAGGCCCGGGUUCGAUUCCCGGCCAGUGCA